ensembl:miRNA
UUUGACCCUUGAGCAGAGGUUGCCCUUGGUGAAUUCGCUUUAUUUAUGUUGAAUCACACAAAGGCAACUUUUGUUUGAGUAUCAAAU